CGGGUGUAGUUCAAUGGUAGAACGAAAGCUUCCCAAGCUUUAAAUGUGGGUUCGAUUCCCAUCACCC
rnacentral:tRNA from 1 species